rnacentral:tRNA from 1 species
UGAAGCAUAGUUUUAAAAAUAUUUCAUUUACAUUGAAAAGUUCACAGUGGUGUGUUUUAA